rnacentral:misc_RNA from 1 species
GAUGAAGAACGCAGCGAAAUGCGAUACUUGGUGUGAAUUGCAGAAUCCCGUGAACCAUCGAGUCUUUGAACGCAAGUUGCGCCUCAAGCCAUUAGGUUGAGGGCACGUCUGCCUGGGCGUCACAUAUCGUUGCCUGAUGCCAGUUUCCUCGUGAUGGGUGACUGUGCAGGGCGAAUGAUGGCUUCCCGUGAGCAUUGUUGCCUCAUGGUUGGUUGAAAAUUGAGUCCUUGGUAGGGAGCGCCGUGAUAGAUGGUGGUUGAGUGACGAACGAGACCCAAUCAUGUGAGACCCCUACCGAAUUUGGCCUUCAUGACCCACAUGCGUCUUUGGAACGCUCAUGACGAGACCUCAGGUCAGGCGGGGAUACCCGCUGAGUUUAAGCAUAUCAAUAAGCGGAGGA